UCCGGUUUGUCACCGGCAGUUUCUCCAAAGUGCCCAGCAUAACCUGAUGGCAACUAAAGGCGAGGGUUGCGCUCGUUGCGGGACUUAACCCAACAUCUCAUGACACGAGCUGACGACAGCCAUGCAGCACCUGUGUGCAAGUCUCUUGCGAGAAGGAACCCAUCUCUGGGAACCGUCCUGCCAUGUCAAGGGCUGGUAAGGUUCUGCGCGUUGCUUCGAAUUAGACCACAUGCUCCACCGCUUGUGCAGGCCCCCGUCAAUUUCUUUGAGUUUUAACCUUGCGGCCGUACUCCCCAGGCGGAUAACUUAAUGCGUUAGCUGCGCCACCAAAAGCCCACGGCCCCUGACAGCUAGUUAUCAUCGUUUACGGCGUGGACUA
rnacentral:misc_RNA from 1 species